UACAGAGGGGGCAAGCGUUAUUCGGAAUUAUUGGGCGUAAAGGGCGCGUAGGCGGCUUGGCAAGUGGAAGGUGAAAUCCCUCGGCUUAACCGAGGAACUGCCCCCCAAACUGCUUUGCUUGAGGCCGGGAGAGGCGAGUGGAAUUCCCAGUGUAGCGGUGAAAUGCGUAGAUAUUGGGAGGAACACCAGUGGCGAAGGCGGCUCGCUGGACCGGUUCUGACGCUGAGGCGCGAAAGCGUGGGGAGCAAACGGG
rnacentral:rRNA from 1 species